GGAGGGAUGGCAGAGUGGUCGAUUGCGGCAGUCUUGAAAACUGUUGACUGUUACAGGUCCGGGGGUUCGAAUCCCUCUCCCUCCG
rnacentral:tRNA from 1 species